rnacentral:snRNA from 1 species
UCGAGCUGCUUCCGCGGCGA